AUGGAAAUCUCUGUAAAUUUU
rnacentral:tRNA from 1 species